UGAGAGAAGAUGGAAAGACGGUUUACGCUGUCACUUAUAGAUGGGCCCGCGGCGCAUUAGCUAGUUGGUGAGGUAAUGGCUCACCAAGGCGACGAUGCGUAGCCGACCUGAGAGGGUGAUCGGCCACACUGGGACUGAGACACGGCCCAGACUCCUACGGGAGGCAGCAGUAGGGAAUCUUCCGCAAUGGACGAAAGUCUGACGGAGCAACGCCGCGUGAACGAAGAAGGCCUUCGGGUCGUAAAGUUCUGUUGUUAGGGAAGAACAAGUACCAGAGUAACUGCUGGUACCUUGACGGUACCUAACCAGAAAGCCACGGCUAACUACGUGCCAGCAGCCGCGGUAAUACGUAGGUGGCAAGCGUUGUCCGGAA
rnacentral:rRNA from 1 species